AGCACAUCCCUGCUCUGCCCCUGCCUCAUGCCCAGGUGUUGCUGGGACAGAAUCCCAGGCCAGCCAUGAGCUGCAGGUUGGAGUCAGCCAGGACACCUGGCUCAAGAUGCCUCCAGGUGUAUCCCAUCCCAUAAACACCACACUCAGCAUAAAGGGUGAAGUUUGCAGAGGAGAAAGUUCUUCCUGCUUGGACUCCUGCUCCUGUGCUGGCUCCUCCUGACCAUGCUCCUUUUCCUGAGGACUUGCCUCUAGUUUGCCCAUGGAAAGAUCCUUCUCUGACUCUCAGCCCCAGCUGCACAGCACCAAGCAGGGAUCCCCAGGUGAUGCCAGAGUGGAAAAAGCUUCAUUUAUUCAGCACUAAAUAGGCACCCUUGGGGGGUGGGGGGAUCACUCCCAAAGUCCCAGGGGGUCCCGAGGUGAGCCGAAGUUUUUGUGGCUAUUAAUACAGGCAGGAUCUUUCACUAAGUCACACCUGCCUGAUGCAAUUAUUCCUUCUGCCUACAUUCAUGGGCUGUGACUCACUGGAGUGUUUGGUCAUCCACACCUGCACAGACAGUCAGGCCCCUCUCACCUGCUUAAGACCCAAACUCCCUUUCUUCUCUGUCUUUAACUGGCACAUUGACUGAAUGAAAAGCUCAAAGACAGCACAAGCUUAUUCUACAGCUUCUGAGAAUCUUUGUAGGUAUUCCAAAGCAGGAGUGAGCUCGUGGGAAACAAAACCUUGGUUUUGAAAGGUGAGGUUGAGGAAUAGGCUUUAAGGCCUGAUUUUUGAGGUGACACAGGCAGAGGAAGGCUCUGAGGGGGGCUGCAGCUCCCAGAGAGCAGAGGCUGAGCGGUGAGGGCUCUGCUCCUGCCCAGGUGAUGCCUGCUGCCCCAGCAUUCCAGAGGAACCAUGCCCUGCAGCCUUCCUGCUUCUAGGUCAGUCCUCACGCUUUGGGGUUGGAAUGCUGCCACUGCCAAGGCUGGGUCUCUGCAGAGGGCCAGCUCUGGGGUCUUUUCCGUGGAGGAGGCAAGGCAAAAGCAGCAAAACUGAGGCAGACCGGUGAAAGAGGCUCCUUCUGCCCAUUUGUGGCCCUAGCAAAGGUGAU